rnacentral:tRNA from 1 species
CGCGGGGUAGCGCAGCGGUAGCGUGCCGGGCUCAUAACCCGGAGGUCGUGAGUUCGAAUCUCACCCCCGCAACAA